GAUGAACGCUGGCGGCGUGCCUAAUACAUGCAAGUCGAGCGAAUGGAUUAAGAGCUUGCUCUUAUGAAGUUAGCGGCGGACGGGUGAGUAACACGUGGGAGACCUGCCCAUAAGACUGGGAUAACUCCGGGAAACCGGGGCUAAUACCGGAUAACAUUUUGAACCGCAUGGUUCGAAAUUGAAAGGCGGCUUCGGCUGUCACUUAUGGAUGGACCCGCGUCGCAUUAGCUAGUUGGUGAGGUAACGGCUCACCAAGGCAACGAUGCGUAGCCGACCUGAGAGGGUGAUCGGCCACACUGGGACUGAGACACGGCCCAGACUCCUACGGGAGGCAGCAGUAGGGAAUCUUCCGCAAUGGACGAAAGUCUGACGGAGCAACGCCGCGCGAGUGAUGAAGGCUUUCGGGUCGUAAAACUCUGUUGUUAGGGAAGAACAAGUGCUAGUUGAAUAAGCUGGCACCUUGACGGCACCUAACCAGAAAGCCACGGCUAACUACGUGCCAGCAGCCGCAGUAA
rnacentral:rRNA from 1 species